rnacentral:lncRNA from 1 species
UUUUUUUGCUUUGCCUGUGGUGGCAUGUGGAAGUUUCUAGGCCAGGGUCACAGGAGUGACCUGAGAUGCUGCAGUGACAAUGCAGGAUCCUUAACCUGCUCAGCCACUCAGCUACCAGGGAACUUCAAGAGGUGUUACUCUUAAUUUUACAACAAGAAAAAUGCAGGCAGACUGAAAAUCAAGACCCAUGUGAGAACUGAGGUCACAGGACAGCAUGAAAUCUAGAGAAAUAAAUGCAUUCAGAGAGAUGGAGAUGGAAAGAAAGAGGAAGCCACCAAGAUUUACUUAUCUGGAUCAGAAUUUAUUGGGGAACAUGGUUGGAACAUGUAAAUGAUAAUUUUGGUGAAAUCCUAGAGACUGAGUGUGAACUAGUGUGAGUGAGACACUCUUAGGAGCUGAAGUCUUAAGAGGGUUUGUACACUUUCAUGAAUUUUUCUUCUACGAGCCCUACCAGGUUCAUUCUGUGAAGAUCUGAGAAAAAGCCCCUCAGGAUUCUGGCAGAACAAAGAGAAGAGUAACCAGAGUCUUCUUCAAAGUAACAAAGGCCUAUUCUCUAGGUAAAAAGACACUGGCAAAAUUCAGUUCUGACACCUUAUCCCAGUUGAAGAAAGGAAAUCCCUCCCUACUCCAGCACCCUCUGGCUUUCCUAUCUCCUAUCUCCAGGUGGGGAGAAAUGGCCAAUAAGGGAUAGUACUUCAUGGAAAUUGUGUAAUUCUGUAGCCAAGGAAGGGAUUAGGGGGAGAGGGGAAAUGUUAUGUAUUAGUAGAGAAACCCUUGUGAUGGUCCCAUCACUGAGACACAAGCCUACUAGAAAGACUAGAGUUUAAUUGGAAGAUCAUAGAAAGCACCACAUUACCACACUAACAGACCUCCAGUAUCAUAGCAGUGGAUUACAGUUUAAAGAGCUUCAAGACACAGAGUCCAUUUUGGAAGCAGUUCUUAGGUAAUCCCAGAGAUAAUAAGGGAGACAAAAUGAAGACACUAUAACUUGAAGCCUCUGGUACCUAUAGCUGAAAAAAAAAAAAAAAAAAAAAAAAAAAAGGUCUAACUCCCAGUAAAGUUAAUGUAACUCCUCACACUAAAGGGCUGUUUAAUUCCAUUCCUAUUACCUGAUACAAUAUGCCCAGCUUUUCAACCAAAAAUUACCCAAUACAUUAAAAACAAGAAAAAGUUCACUCUGAAAGGACAAAGAUUCCAUCAGAACUAGAUUUAGGUAUCAUACUGAUGUUACAAUUAUCAGGCAGAGAAUUUAAAAUAACCAUAACUAACACGUUAAAUGAUGUAAACAAAUGUAAGAAUGGGCAAAGUAAGCAGAGAGAAUGGAAACUCUGAAAAAAAUCCAAGCAAAUGGCUAGAUAUUAAAAACACUAACACAGCUAAAGAAUGACUUAAAUCAAUCCAUCAGUAGACUCAACACAGCAAAGACAAAAAUCUAUGAACUUGAGGGUAGGUAAAUAGAAAACUCCCAAACUGAAAUCAAAGAUAAAAAGUAAUUUAAUAAAAAUAUAUCAUAUCAUAUCCAAUAGUUGAGGACAAUAUUAAAAGGUAUAACAAAUGUGUAACAAAUAUCAGAAGGAGAAGAAAGAGAACAUGAAGCCAAAAAACAUUUGAAAUUGUAUUGCUUAAGAACUUCCCCAAAUUGAUGGCAGACACUAAACUAUAGAUCCAGAUGUAUCAGAAAACACCAAGCAAAUAAGUAACAAAACACAACACAUACAGACACAAACACCCAUUUAGACCUAUCAUAUUCAAACUACAGAAAACCAAGACAAGAGAAAAUCUUUAAAUAAGCCAAAGUGGGAAAACUGUAGAGGAAAAAAGAUGAGUUAGAUAUAUUUUUUCAUCAGAAACCAUUUACACAAGAACAGAGUGGAGUGGCAGAGUUAAAAAAUGUUGAGAAAUAAUGCCAAUAACCUAGAAUGAUAUAUCCAGCAAAAUUAUCCUUCAAAAGUGAAAGAGAAAAACAAAAACUGAAGAAUUCAUUGUCAGGAGACUUGCCUUACAAUCAUCAUUAAAAUAAAUCUUUACAUGUGGUAAAAUAAUAUAGGUAAAGAACUCAGGACAACAUAAAGAAAGAAAGAACAUCAGUGAGGGAAUAAAUGAAGGUAAACUAAAAAGUUUUCAUUUUUCCUAUCAAUAAAUUUAAAAUAUAACAGCCUUUUAAAAGAACUUAUAGUUACAAUAUCGGAUAACCUCUAAAAAUUAGAAUUAAUAUGUUAGGAAAGGAGAUAAAAUCAAGUCAUUUAAAAUUAGAGGAGAAAGAUGAAGAGGUGGGAUAAAGAGACAAAAAAUAAAUGUAGUGAAUCAGAAAACUGUUACAGGGGUUAAUUAUCUAAGAACAUAGCAGACCUAAUGUGUGUGUAUCUAACAACAUUGUCCAAAUACCACUGGCAAAACUGAUGGAGCUGAAAUACAGUCAAACUCACAAAGACCUCAACAACCUGUUCCAGUAAAGAAUAGAUCAAGCAGGAAGAAAAUCUGGACAUAGGUGACUUGAAUACAUUAUCAAUGAACUUGAUCUGAUUGACAUUUAUAGAACAUUCUACUUAGAAUAUAUAUCUCAGGCUUACAUAGAACAUUCUGCUCAUUUGGAUUUUCUACCAGUAACGUUAAUAACUCUUGUUAAUUUUCAAGAGCUCUUUAUUAAAAAGAUUUCUGAGAAUACCAAUUUCAUUGUUUUAUUUUAUGAUUUAUAUACUAACGUUUCCUUAGGGCUUAUUUUUCUUCUAUUAGGUCAAUAUUAUACAUCUUUUUCAUGUUAAUGAUAUUCUUCUAAUGCUUCAUGAUGCUUGGUUACUGCCCAUAUUUAUAAAUAAGGAACUAAAUUUAUUCAUUUUGAAAAAUAAAUUGCAAUUAUUAGAACAUUGGCAGUCACUUUUCCUGAAUUAUAAGGGGACUUGUCAGAGGUACUUGGAAAUUCCUCAAAAGUUUGCAUUCUGUGUACCAGACUCCCUCUCCUUGGGAAGAUGCCAACCUUUUCACUCCACUUUUUCCUGUAUAGAAGAUGUGUGCGAUUAAGAAAGGUUUUCUUCUGCCUUUAGCCUGAGAGCAAUUACUAGUUUCCGUUGUUUUGACAAUAAGUCCAACUGUUAUUUAGUAUUUCAAUAAACUACCCUACAGUGGCUUUGGGGGCCCACUUUGUUUCCAAAACCUGUUUUCCUAUGAUCCUGGUCUUUUCUCCUGCUUUUUAGUAGUCUUCCUCUUUCACAGGUAUGGGGCUGCAGUAUUUUCGUUCAAACUUACUCUUUACCUUGCACAUAUUUCUCAAUGUUUCUUCUCCCCUGAUACUGCUGAAAACGGUUCCAGUUAUCCAGUGCUUUGGAAGACGUGAUUUUCUUCUGGAUGUGUCUUUUAUUAUUUUUAAGUGAAUCUUU